rnacentral:rRNA from 1 species
AUCUCGGCUCUUGCAUCGAUGAAGAACGUAGCGAAAUGCGAUACUUGGUGUGAAUUGCAGAAUCCCGUGAACCAUCGAGUCUUUGAACGCAAGUUGCGCCUGAAGCCAUUAGGUUGAAGGCACGUCUGCCUGGGCGUCACGCAUUGCGUCACCCACUCCCCCGUGCCUAAGCGGGCAUG